rnacentral:lncRNA from 1 species
GGAAUUGUGAUUCGUUUGAGAAAUUUUUAUUUUAUUUCAUUUUGAAAAAACUUCAAAUACCGCCGAUAUAGCUUUAUAUUUUAUCACUUUUAAAAUAUAUCAAUUUAGUGUCAUGUAUUUUUAUUUUUAUUUUUUAUUAUUUAUUUUACUAUUUUUUUUGUUAAAUCAGUGACAAAGUUAAAAUUAAAGGGUACUAAAAUAAAUAUUCGAUAAAUCUAUAUGGAGUAUCUAAAAUUUUUUGUAUAUAAUUUAAUAAAAUAUUAACGAAGAAACUGACGAAAAGAUAAAAAUAAAACCAUAAAGCACUAACUUGAUACACUUUAAAUCAUAUAGUACUUAAAUAAAAAGAUAUGAAAUUACUGGUGUAGCAUUUGAAGUUUACUUUUUUUUCUUUUUUUUUUUU